UAUGACCGCUGGCGGCAUGCCUAACACAUGCAAGUCGAACGGUAACGGACCGCUGGGAUUCCUUCGGGAUGACCUUGGUGCCGACGAGUGGCGGACGGGUGAGUAAUGCUUAGGAAUCUGCCCAUGUAGUGGGGGACAACUCCGGGAAACCGGAGCUGAUACCGCAUAAGCCCUACGGGGGAAAGCAGGGGAUCUUCGGACCUUGCGCUAUUGGAUGAGCCUAAGUCAGAUUAGCUUGUUGGUGGGGUAACGGCCUACCAAGGCGACGAUCUGUAGCUGGUCUGAGAGGAUGAUCAGCCACACUGGGACUGAGACACGGCCCAGACUCCUACGGGAGGCAGCAGUGGGGAAUAUUGGACAAUGGGCGCAAGCCUGAUCCAGCAAUGCCGCGUGUGUGAAGAAGGCCUGCGGGUUGUAAAGCACUUUCAGUAGUGAGGAAAAGCUUAAGGUUAANNCCCUUGAGUCUUGACGAGAACUACAGAAGAAGCACCGGCUAACUCUGUGCCAGCAGCCGCGGUAAUACAGAGGGUGCGAGCGUUAAUCGGCAUU
rnacentral:rRNA from 1 species